rnacentral:lncRNA from 1 species
GCCCCGCCCUCCCCGCGGCGCACGGGAACAGCAUGGCGGCACAGCUGUGUGUGAGCCUGGCACGAUGUCAGGAAAGGAUUAAAACACUCAUCUGGCUGGGGACCUGAUUUAUCUACUGGACUGACAGCACAGCUGCACAGUGGAGGAAAUGGUCCUGCAGAGUCCUGGGGCUGCUGUUGCCCAAACACAGCUUUGGCAAGAGGGCAGCUGCUAAGCUGGGCUUAAGCUGCUCUAGAAGCAACAGAAUAAAGAUUGUUUUGGACUGAGUGUCA